AUGGGGAAUAGCUGUGCAGGGCAGAGAACCAGCACGGCGAGAGCAGCCUGGCCUUCAACCUCACCGUGGAGUGUGAGAAUGGGGGAAAAAAAUGGGAUUUUGGGAAAAAACGGGGAAAAAAUGGGAAAAACGGGGGGAAAAUGGGAAAAAAUUGAGUUUUUUGGGACAAAAAUGGGGAUUUUGGGAAGGAAAAUGGGGAGUACCUGUGCAGGGCGGAGAACCAGCACGGCGAGAGCAGCCUGGCCUUCAACCUCACCGUGGAGUGUGAGAAUGGGGAAAAAAACGGGAUUUUGGGAAAAAACGGGGGAAAAAAUGGGAUUUUGGGGUGAAAAAUGGGGAUUUUGGGAAGGAAAAUGGGGAAUAGCUGUGCAGGGCGGAGAACCAGCACGGCGAGAGCAGCCUGGCCUUCAACCUCACCGUGGAGUACCCUCCGGUGGUGCUCCCCGAGUCCCGCUGCUCCCCGCUGCCCCAGGGCUCCGCUCGCUGUGUCUGCACCCCCGAACCCCAGAGACCCCCAAAAUACCCCAAAAACACCCGAAAUCACCCCAAAAACACCCGAAAUCACCCCAAAACACCUGAAAUCACCCCAAAAUCCUGUCCUUUCACCCCCAGACCCGCCGGUGGUGCUCCCCGAGUCCCGCUGCUCCCCGCUGCCCCAGGGCUCCGCUCGCUGUGUCUGCACCCCUGAACCCCAGAGACCCCCAAAAUACCCCAAAAUCACCCCAAAAUCCCCCAAAAUCC
rnacentral:lncRNA from 1 species